rnacentral:sRNA from 1 species
GGGAAGACCAAAUUGAUAGACUGGACUUUAUUCGAAACCAGAUGAACCUUUUAACCCUGGAUGUUAAGAAAAAAAUCAAGGAGGUUACCGAGGAGGUGGCAAACAAAGUGGGUAACAGUAGCUUCAUGAUUAAAAUAACCUGGAUGGAAAUUAUUUUUGAUAAUGCUAAAAAUGUUAUUCCUGUUACUUUAAAAGAAUGUUUUAAGAUUUUUCAAUUUAAUUUUUUUGAGUAAUUGGUUAUCUUGUUUAAUUAUUUUAACUCCAAAAUUUUCAUAUUUUCAGGUUUCAUGUGCAAUGACAGAUGAAAUUUGUCGACUGUCUCUUUUGGUUGAUGAAUUUUGUUCAGAGUUUCAUCCUAAUCCAGAUGUAUUAAAAAUAUAUAAAAGUGAAUUAAAUAAGCACAUAGAGGAUGGUAUGGGAAGAAAUUUGGCUGAUCGAUGCACCGAUGAAGUGAACGCCUUAGUGCUUCAGACCCAGCAAGAAAUUAUUGAAAAUUUGAAGCCAUUACUUCCAGCUGGUAUACAGGAUAAACUACAUACACUGAUCCCUUGCAAGAAAUUUGAUCUCAGUUAUAAUCUAAAUUACCACAAGUUAUGUUCAGAUUUUCAAGAGGAUAUUGUAUUUCGUUUUUCCCUGGGCUGGUCUUCCCUUGUACAUCGAUUUUUGGGCCCUAGAAAUGCUCAAAGGGUGCUCCUA